UUCAACCAAACCCUCGGGGAUUGUUUAAGCCCAUACAGGGCGCGAUUCAGCUUGCAAACAAGAUGUUCCUCACCAGGAAAGCAGUGCGAACGUCCAACUGGUGCAGUUCCAGGUCGUACUUGGCAGCCAGUGCAAGGAUCACUCGCACAGAGGUCAACUUCACAACUGUUCCAUCAGGUUUGUACUUGACUGUGUAAAUCCAUUUCGAGCUCACAAGGUGAGCACCUUCAGGUAAGGUUGUCUUUGUCAUUGUAUUGUUUCGCUCAUGCGAAUGCAUUUCAGCAU